UUCACAUUUCCCGACCUGCUCUAGUCCCGGACUGAUUCUCGGAGGUUGUGAGCACCCACACUGGGGGUGUGCAGCCCACAUGUAAACCAGGUCCACACUUGCCUUUCAGCCUGUGAGCGCAUCUGGCCGCCUAUUGGAAGCGGGAGAGAGAGAAUUAGAUCAUCCGCUCCCGACAGAGCUGCGAGAAGACGAAGACAAGACAUUGUUCCCCUAGGGCUGGGCAGUUAACGAGGUAGGGGGAGGAAAAUCCCAGCGAGCGGAGCCCGGGAGUGUGUGAGCCCAGCAACCAGCCCCUCCGUCAGUGGCGCGAGCACCGGCGCAGACCCCAGGCUCCAGCUGGGCACGUACCUCUGCUGCACGCGGGAAACUUUCUCCUCCGGCGAGCCUUUCGUCCUUUCUGAGAACGUUAUUGGGAGUCCCAGCAUGGUUCCCACCCUACAGGCGCAGGCUGCUUCUGUCCCAGAGCCAAUGGAGCAAGGGAACCCAAAUGGGAUUACAUCCACGUUCUUCUAGAACUGCAUAUGUGCAUGAGACAUUCCCAGCACUGAAGGCUGUAAUUGUAGUCACUGUUCAAAAGUAUUACCAGCUUGCUUGGACGAAUAAUUGUCAGACGACAAUGUCUGGUUUGUGAUCUAUUCAUAAACUAUUUACUGCUGCCUGAUCAUCUCCCAUUAUGCACCACAGUUUGGUGUGGAGAGUCGUGGUGUGGAGAGGCAGUGCAUUGUGGGAGUAACAUGCCCAUGAUGCAUCAGAGGAGAUGAAGUCGGGCUGAGGAGUCAGGCACACAGAGGAGAAUGGAGACUAAGUAUUUGGCUGUGACAGUGCUUCUCUUCUGAAGAUUUCAACACUUCACAUUGAUGGACAAGUACAACUACUCCAUUACUCCCAAUUCACAGAUGGGUAACAAGGCUCAGAGAGCUUAAGAGACCACUCAGUUCAGAGCUGGGGAUACAACUUCGGUCUUCCACUCCUCAUCUACUGGCUCAUGCUUCCUCCUUGAUGAAAACGCAAUUAGACAUCCAAGUACAAAGCUUUAUGCUGAGUUAGCUUACUUCAGUGUACUGUACAUUCCCAUUGGAGAUUAAAACAUGUUAUCCCAUCUUCAGGCUUCCUGAUGAGUUUUUAAGUCACAAUGACCUUCCAAGUCUCUGAACACAAAUAAUGAAGUUAUGUGAAGUAACAUAAGAGGAGCCUACAGGAGACUUCCAAUAAUUUUUCACUGACAACAUGAUUUAAAAAGACACUGGCAAAGAAAGUGAGCCAUUCUCGUAAGUGGAGAAGUUUGAUAGUAUUCCAGGUUUACCCCUCAGAGUUCAGAGUGUUGUCUAGGAUUGUUCAGAAACAGAAGCUAUAGUUCUAUUAGUUCAUUUCCUUUGUCUGGAUAUGGGAACAAUGGGUGACAUUAAAAUAUGUAUUAAAUGAAAAAAGCCUUUUAUCUGGAAAAA